rnacentral:rRNA from 1 species
UGGGGAAUCUUGCACAAUGGGGGAAACCCUGAUGCAGCGACGCCGCGUGAGCGAUGAAGGGUUUCGAAUCGUAAAGCUCUGUCCUAUGGGAAGAUAAUGACGGUACCAUGGGAGGAAGCCCCGGCUAACUACGUGCCAGCAGCCGCGGUAAUACGUAGGGGGCGAGCGUUGUCCGGAAUUACUGGGCGUAAAGGGUUCGCAGGCGGCAUGGCAAGUCCGAUGUAAAAGGCGAAGGCUCAACCUUCGUAAGCAUCGGAAACUGUCAAGCUUGAGUGAAGGAGAGGCAAGUGGAAUUCCUAGUGUAGCGGUGGAAUGCGUAGAUAUUAGGAGGAAUACCGGUGGCGAAGGCGACUUGCUGGACUUCAACUGACGCUGAGGAACGAAAGCGUGGGUAGCAAACAGG